GAAACUUGGCCACUCCUUACGGGGGAGACAGUCAUGAGACGUGAGUAUAAGACCUGAGUGUAAAGACCUUAGGGUGAAGCAAUUGGAGGGCAAGCUUUGGUGCCAGCAGCCGCGGUAACUCCAACUCCAAGAGUGUCUAUGGUGGAUGCUGCAGUUAAAGGGUCCGUAGUCGUGAAUGCAAUUAAAUGUCGUUGUUCAAUAGCGAUGAGUUUGCUAAUGUUUGCGGAACGGAUAGGGAGUGUAGUAUAGACUGGCGAAGAAUGAAAUCUCAAGACCCAGUUUGGACUAACGGAGGCGAAGGCGACACUCUUAGACGUAUCUUAGGAUCAAGGACGAAGGCAGGAGUAUCGAAAGUGAUUAGACACCGCUGUAGUUCCUGCAGUAAACUAUGCCGACAGCCUGUGUGUGAGAAUACGUGGGCGGGAGAAAUCUUAGUGUUCGGGCUCUGGGGAUAGUACGCUCGCAAGGGUGAAACUUAAAGCGAAAUUGACGGAAGGACACUACCAGGAGUGGAUUGUGCUGCUUAAUUUAACUCAACGCGGGAAAACUUACCAGGGUCAAGUCAUUCGUUGAUCGAAUACGUGAGAAUGGCAGGAGGGGUGCAUGG
rnacentral:rRNA from 1 species